UUACGGCCAUAUCACGUUGAAACUACGGUUCUCGUACGAUCAUCGGAGUUAAGCAAUGUCGACCCUGAUCAGUAUCUAGACGGGUGACCGCUUGAGAAUAGCAGGU